rnacentral:rRNA from 1 species
ACAACUGCAGACGGUGGACCGCUCGGCUCCCGCGUCGAUGAAGAACGCAGCG